GAUGAACGCUGGCGGCGUGCCUAAUACAUGCAAGUCGAGCGAACAGACGAGGAGCUUGCUCCUCUGACGUUAGCGGCGGACGGGUGAGUAACACGUGGAUAACCUACCUAUAAGACUGGGAUAACUUCGGGAAACCGGAGCUAAUACCGGAUAAUAUAUUGAACCGCAUGGUUCAAUAGUGAAAGACGGUUUUGCUGUCACUUAUAGAUGGAUCCGCGCCGCAUUAGCUAGUUGGUAAGGUAACGGCUUACCAAGGCAACGAUGCGUAGCCGACCUGAGAGGGUGAUCGGCCACCCUGGAACUGAGACGCGGUCCAGACUCCUACGGGAGGCAGCAGUAGGGAAUCUUCCGCAAUGGGCGAAAGCUUGACGGAGCAACGCCGCGUGAAUGAUGAAGGUCUUCGGAUCGUAAAACUCUGUUAUUAGGGAAGAACAGAUGUGUAAGUAACUAUGCACGUCUUGACGGUACCUAAUCAGAAAGCCACGGCUAACUACGUG
rnacentral:rRNA from 1 species